UCCACGUUGUGGCCGUGGCGACACAGGUUCGAUUCCUGUCUUGGGCA
rnacentral:tRNA from 1 species